rnacentral:lncRNA from 1 species
UCCUUGAUAGCCUGCUGUACUGAUGACCGAAAUAGAAUAUCCAUCUGCAUGCAAUAUCCACGAACUCUGCUUCUGCUGAAGAACUGCAACGGCUUUGUCGGACUCCUCAGCUUCUCUUUAACUAUUAUCAGCUUUGGACCACAAUGCCAACCGACCUUAGAAAUAUUUACCUAAGUGUUUGGAUUUCCAGGAGUGCGGCUUAUAGAUCUGCUUUGGUGACGAGUCCUUCGCUGUUGGCGAGAACACUCAAGGCAGAGUGCCUUUUUGUGUUCUCGGGUGAAUAUACUCUUGAAUUACUCCCUCGUCCGCUUGCGCCAUAGUCCCGAGAACCCCUAGGAUGAGGUACCUUCUUCGGAUGCUUAGGAAUAUGGGUGCAUUUUGUGUGCUGAAUCUGAAACUGACAGCCUUAGAUGGGCAUCUCCGAAGACAAGUGUCUACAGGGCGGUGUGCCCUCAGUGGAUUCUCAGGAGUAUGAUUUCUGGAUCUACUUCGGUGAAACUUUCUGUCACUGUGGUGAGGAUACUCAAGGCAGAAUGCCUUAUUUGUAUUCUGAGGUGCAUGCUCCCUGGAUCAGUUUAUUCGUUUGUUGCGACCAUAAUCCCAAAGACCAAUAGGGUGAAGUACCCUCCUCUGUCAAUCAAGAAAAUGGCUGUUGGAUCUUCAUCUACUCUGCUUCGACCAUAAUCCCGAAGACCAAUAGGGCGGAAUACCCUUCUCAGUCAAUCAAUC